rnacentral:rRNA from 1 species
AACGAACGCUGGCGGCAGGCCUAACACAUGCAAGUCGAGCGAGGUAGCAAUACCUAGCGGCGGACGGGUGAGUAACGCGUGGGAACGUACCCUUUGCUACGGAAUAGCCCCGGGAAACUGGGAGUAAUACCGUAUGUGCCCUUCGGGGGAAAGAUUUAUCGGCAAAGGAUCGGCCCGCGUUGGAUUAGGUAGUUGGUGGGGUAAUGGCCUACCAAGCCGACGAUCCAUAGCUGGUUUGAGAGGAUGAUCAGCCACACUGGGACUGAGACACGGCCCAGACUCCUACGGGAGGCAGCAGUGGGGAAUCUUAGACAAUGGGCGCAAGCCUGAUCUAGCCAUGCCGCGUGAGUGAUGAAGGCCUUAGGGUUGUAAAGCUCUUUCAGAUGGGAAGAUAAUGACGGUACCAUCAGAAGAAGCCCCGGCUAACUCCGUG